rnacentral:lncRNA from 1 species
CAGAACACGUCUGUCCUGAGCAGGACCAUAAGUCUCAGUACACGUCUGUAUCCCUCUGUGGUCCUUACCAAAUACAAGUCCUACGCAGGCACAACUCAAGAGGCAUAACAUCAAACAUAUAGACACAUAGACACAUAGACUGUCUUACUUCCAACUGGCUGUGAAAUUGAGAUCAGGGCAUCCUGAUCUCGGUUGAACCUCCAAAUGAAACACCCUUGGAUCGAGGAGUCUCCACAAAUCGGAUGGUCCUGCCCAAAAAACUCAAUGUCCAGUCCAGCUGAUGUGAAAACAAGAGGAUUCUUGUCAGUUCUAAGGAUCUGAAUUGGACCCACACAAACAGGUCUAAAAGGUGCCAGAGUUCCAUACAGCCUGGACUUUGAUGGAGCAACCAGCCACCCCAGGAAACCUAGGACAUGGCAGCACCCCAGCUUUCUCAGGUCCCCCAAAGAUGGUCAAUGACCCCCAGAGACAGACCCGCCCAGUGACAAUGGGUGGGGUGCGCACAGUAACUUGCCACAUCACUCAUUAUGCAGUUUGGAGCUGCAUAACUGCGUAGGAACUCUUCAUGCGCAAGCUUCCCCUUUUAAAGCCUGUGCCCACCUCUCUCUCUCUCUCCCUCUCUCUCUCUCUCUACUUCUCUUUCCGGUGGUCAACCAUUAUUUUUUCUCUCUUACUCUCUGCCUUGCUCUAUUCUUCCAUUUCC